rnacentral:rRNA from 1 species
UACGUAGGGUGCGAGCGUUAAUCGGAAUUACUGGGCGUAAAGUGUGCGCAGGCGGCCGCGCAAGUCGAGUGUGAAAGCCCCGAGCUUAACUUGGGAAUUGCGCUCGAAACUACGUGGCUGGAGUGUGGCAGAGGAAGGUGGAAUUCCAGGUGUAGCGGUGAAAUGCGUAGAGAUCUGGAGGAACACCGGUGGUGUAGACGGCUUUCUGGACCGUAACUGACGCUGAAACACGAAAGCGUGGGUAGCAAACAGG